GCACCAGACUCCUACGGGAGGCAGCAGUGGGGAAUAUUGCACAAUGGGGGAAACCCUGAUGCAGCGACGCCGCGUGAGUGAAGAAGUAUUUCGGUAUGUAAAGCUCUAUCAGCAGGGAAGAAAAUGACGGUACCUGAUUAAGAAGCCCCGGCUAACUACGUGCCAGCAGCCGCGGUAAUACGUAGGGGGCAAGCGUUAUCCGGAUUUACUGGGUGUAAAGGGAGCGUAGACGGUGAUGCAAGUCAGAAGUGAAAGCCCGGGGCUCAACUCCGGGACUGCUUUUGAAACUGUGUGACUGGAGUGCAGGAGAGGUAAGCGGAAUUCCUGGUGUAGCGGUGAAAUGCGUAGAUAUCAGGAGGAACACCAGUGGCGAAGGCGGCUUGCUGGACUGUAACUGACGUUGAGGCUCGAAAGCGUGGGGAGUAAACAGGAUUAGAUACCCUUGUA
rnacentral:rRNA from 1 species